UAAUGGCAUAUCGAUGCAUCUAUAAAAUGAAUAUAGUUUGCUACAAAGGCAUUGA
rnacentral:tRNA from 1 species